rnacentral:lncRNA from 1 species
GCACAGGUGUUGCCUCGGUGACCUCUCACUGUUGUCUAUGGGUAGUGGAACACUGAAAGAAAUUCCUGGGAUCCUUCCUGGAUCAUUGGAAGAACCAUCUGGACAGGUGGGUUAAAGGCACAUUCACAGGAGAAAGCUUCAGGGCAGGCAACAACCAGAGGAAAAAUUUUACAAAAUAGGCUGAAAAUGGGAAACAAAUGA